rnacentral:rRNA from 1 species
UACAGGGGGGGCAAGCGUUGUUCGGAAUUACUGGGCGUAAAGGGCUCGUAGGUGGCCAACUAAGUCAGACGUGAAAUCCCUCGGCUUAACCGGGGAACUGCGUCUGAUACUGGAUGGCUUGAGUUUGGGAGAGGGAUGCAGAAUUCCAGGUGUAGCGGUGAAAUGCGUAGAUAUCUGGAGGAAUACCGGUGGCGAAGGCGGCAUCCUGGACCGACAUUGACGCUGAUGAGCGAAAGCUAGGGGAGCAAACGGG